rnacentral:rRNA from 1 species
AUUGAACGCUGGCGGCAUGCCUUACACAUGCAAGUCGAACGGUAACAGGUCUUCGGAUGCUGACGAGUGGCGAACGGGUGAGUAAUACAUCGGAACGUGCCCGAUCGCGGGGGAUAACGAGGCGAAAGCUUUGCUAAUACCGCAUACGAUCUACGGAUGAAAGCGGGGGAUCUUCGGACCUCGCGCGGACGGAGCGGCCGAUGGCAGAUUAGGUAGUUGGUGGGAUAAAAGCUUACCAAGCCGACGAUCUGUAGCUGGUCUGAGAGGAUGAUCAGCCACACUGGGACUGAGACACGGCCCAGACUCCUACGGGAGGCAGCAGUGGGGAAUUUUGGACAAUGGGCGAAAGCCUGAUCCAGCCAUGCCGCGUGCAGGAUGAAGGCCUUUGGGUUGUAAACUGCUUUUGUACGGAACGAAAAGCCUCUUUCUAAUAAAGAGGGGUCAUGACGGUACCGUAAGAAUAAGCACCGGCUAACUACGUG